GGCAUCACCGUUAGAACUUAGAAGCGUACAAAGCACGCCUCUCUGUUUACCACAGGUGGGGCUAUCCGUCAACCACCGUCUCCCUUCCUUCUUCCUUGCAGAUUAACCCACGUUAUUGCAGAACUGCCACGAUGUCCGCCGGAGCCAUCAUCGGCGGUGGCUGCACCUUCCUCGAUGCCCAUUCCCUACGUUCCCUCCUCCCGCCGUCCUCCCUCAUACCCCACUUCCUCUCCUCCCUUCCUUCCCACUCCGCUGCCGUUAACUCCCCCUUUCGCCAAAGCUUCGCCAUCGAUCCAUCAAACUCCUCCUCGCUUCUCCUCAUGCCCUCCUGGUCUUCCUCCCCGUCCCUCCCAUACAUUGGCAUCAAGAUAGUCACCUCUUUCCCCCACAACACAUCCUUAGGCCUCCCUGGCAUCUCCGCCUCCUACGUCCUCUUCAGCUCCUCCACCGGCGCUUCCCUCGCCGCCAUCGAUGGCACCGAGCUCACGCUCCUCCGCACCUCGGCCGUCUCAGCCCUUGCCGCCCGCUUCCUCGCGCGUGACGACGCGCGCGUUCUUAUCAUGGUUGGCGCAGGCGCUCUCGCGCCUUACCUCAUCCGCGCCCACAGAUAUGUUCGCCCGGGAAUCGAGAGGGUCAUCAUCUGGAACCGAUCGGUUUCCAAGGCACGGGAUCUUGUAAAACGGCUUCAGGAGGAGGAGAAAGAAGGGGGAAAUGUAGUUUUCGAGCAUGUAGAAAUAUUGGACAACGUGAUUGGAAUCGGAGACGUGGUGAGCUGCGCGACAAGCUCGCAGGAUCCGAUUGUGAAAGGGGGAAAGCUUAAGCCGGGGGCGCAUCUCGAUCUGGUGGGUUCGUUCAGCCCCGCGAUGAGGGAGUGUGACGACGAGGCUUUAGUAAGGGGUAGAGUGUUUGUGGAUUUCGAGCCGGCCGUGGCGGAGGCUGGUGAGUUGGUUGGUGCCUUCGAGAGAGGGACUAUUUCCCGUGAGGAUGUGAUAGGGACUCUGGUCGAUUUGGCUGGAGGUAUGAAGGUUGGGAGGAGAAGUCCAGAGGAGAUCACCGUGUUCAAGUCUGUGGGAACAGCCGUGGUUGAUCUUCUCGCGGGGCAGUUGGCUUAUGAGACUCAUAUCAGAGGUGCCAAAUUGAGAUUAAGGCCCUCUUGAAGUCUGGAAUUUGGCUCACCUUAUAAAGCUUUCAUGUAGCACCAUUAGCGAUUUUGAUUUGCUCAAGGGCUCAUAUUCCACAAGAUAAACCUUGUUUGUUGCAAAAGGCUUCUCAUAUAUGUCUAAUAAAGUUUUAAUCACUUUGGUUGUGCUCUUCUCAACUAUGCUGGAUGUUUUGUUAGCGCAAGGAUAAAGCUCCUAGUGGUAAUUAAGCUCCACAUAUUAGCAUUGCUUAGCAAGUGCUGAAAAGGAAGUUGAUUGUAUGAUAGAGCUAUCUGCGUUGGUGUUAUUCCUUACCUUCGAAUGAGUAAUUGAAGGGACCUUUAAGAAGACCACAUAAAUUGAGUUCAACAAGGUGGGUCACAUUGAGUUCUAUCAGAAGACUGCUGGGAGCUUGGUCCUUCAAAGCUGUAUUUUCCUUGCCUGAGAAUCAGGUCCAUCUGAAGUUAUCAAUAAAAAUCUGUGUAAUGUAACAAGAAUAACUUGCCAGAUCUUAAACGACUCCAGCCGCCGUCGCCUCAUUAGCCAAAGAUAAAGAUCUAAUUAAAACAAUAAAUAACAGUUCUUGUUGUUUAGGUGAAAGCUUCUUCCUGGAUUAAAGCCAAACGUCAGGUGAUUGUAGGGGAUGGUUCCUUGCCGUCCAUUUCUGGAUUUUGUUCAUCACCCACAUUACUAAUGAAACUCAUACAACUCUAUUUAAUGAGAACUGCAGUCUUUUUGGUUGAUU